GACGAACGCUGGCGGCGUGCUUAACACAUGCAAGUCGAACGGUGAAAGCGGAGCUUGCUCCGCUGGAUCAGUGGCGAACGGGUGAGUAACACGUGGGCAACCUGCCCCUCACUUCGGGAUAACUCCAGGAAACCGGGGCCAAUACCGGAUAUGACCUCCUUGGGCAUCCUUGGAGGUGGAAAGUUUUUCGGUGAGGGAUGGGCCCGCGGCCUAUCAGCUUGUUGGUGAGGUAGUGGCUCACCAAGGCGACGACGGGUAGCCGGCCUGAGAGGGCGACCGGCCACACUGGGACUGAGACACGGCCCAGACUCCUACGGGAGGCAGCAGUGGGGAAUAGUGCACAAUGGGCGCAAGCCUGAUGCAGCGACGCCGCGUGAGGGAUGACGGCCUUCGGGUUGUAAACCUCUUUCAGCAUCGACGAAGCGAAAGUGACGGUAGGUGCAGAAGAAGGACCGGCCAACUACGUGCCAGCCGCCGCAGUAA
rnacentral:rRNA from 1 species